ACGAACGCUGGCGGUGCGCCUUAUGCAUGCAAGUUGAGCGAAGCUUUUUGGUAGUUUACUACUAGAAAUGACUGAGCGGCGAACGGGUGAGUAACGCGUGAGCAAUCUACCUUAGUUACUGGGAUAGCCCGAGGAAACUCGGAUUAAUACCAGAUAUUCUUAUUUUUUCACAUGAAGUUUUAAGGAAAGGUCAGCCGAACUAAGAUGAGCUCGCGUUCUAUCAGCUAGUUGGUGGGGUAAAAGCCUACCAAGGCAACGACGGAUAGCUGGUCUGAGAGGACGAUCAGCCACACUGGGACUGAGACACGGCCCAGACUCCUACGGGAGGCUGCAGCAGGGAAUAUUGUGCAAUGAGCGAAAGCUUGACACAGCGACACCGCGUGUGGGAUGACGGUUCUAGGAUUGUAAACCACUUUCAGGAGGGAAGAAAAUGACGGUACCUCCACAAGAAGACCCGGCCAACUAUGUGCCAGCAGCCGCGGUAAUACAUAGGGGUCAAGCGUUGUCCGGAUUUAUUGGGCGUAAAGAGCUCGUAGGCGGUUCAACAAGUCGGUCGUAAAAGUUUAGGGCUCAACCCUAAAAUGUCGAUCGAUACUGUUGUGACUAGGAUACGGUAGAGGUGAAUGGAAUUCCGAGUGUAGCGGUGAAAUGCGUAGAUAUUCGGAGGAACACCAAUUGCGAAGGCAGUUCACUGGACCGUGAUCGACGCUGAGGAGCGAAAGCUAGGGGAGCAAACAGGAUUAGAUACCCUGGUAGUCCUAGCUGUAAACGAUGGAUACUAGAUGUAGGAACUGGAUUGACGGUUUCUGUAUCGUAGCUAACGCGUUAAGUAUCCCGCCUGGGGAGUACGGUCGCAAGACUAAAACUCAAAGGAAUUGACGGGACCCCGCACAAGCGGCGGAGCAUGCGGCUUAAUUCGAUGAUACCCGUAGAACCUUACCUGGACUUGACAUAUAGGGAAAAACUGGAGAAAUCCAGUGUGCGUAAGCGCCCUUUACAGGUGGUGCAUGGCUGUCGUCAGCUCGUGUCGUGAGAUGUUGGGUUAAGUCCCGCAACGAGCGCAACCCCUGUCCUAUGUUGCCAGCAAGUAAUGUUGGGGACUCAUAGGAGACUGCCGGUGAUAAACCGGAGGAAGGUGGGGAUGACGUCAAGUCAUCAUGCCCCUUAUGUCCAGGGCUGCACGCAUGCUACAAUGGCAAGUACAACGAGUCGCAAUACCGCGAGGUGGAGCAAAUCUCUUAAAGCUUGUCUCAGUUCGGAUAGGAGUCUGCAACUCGACUCCUUGAAGUUGGAGUCGCUAGUAAUCGCAAAUCAGCAAAGUUGCGGUGAAUACGUUCUCGGGGUUUGUACACACCGCCCGUCAAGGG
rnacentral:rRNA from 1 species